rnacentral:rRNA from 1 species
GACGAACGCUGGCGGCGUGCCUAAUACAUGCAAGUCGAACGCAGUGGGGACGGGUGAGUAACACGUGGGUACUCUCCCAUCAGAGGGGAUAACACUUGGAAACAGGUGCUAAACCGAUACUGAUGGAUGGACCCGCGGUGCAUUAGCUAGUUGGUGAGGUAAGGGCUCACCAAGGCCACGAUGCAUAGCCGACCUGAGAGGGUGUUCUGCCACACUGGGCUUGAGAAACGGCCCAGACUCCUACGGGAGGCAGCAGUGGGGAAUCUUCGGCAAUGGACGAAAGUCGGACCGAGCAACGCGGCGGAGGUGAAGAAGGUUUUCGGAUCGUAAAACUCUGUGGUUAGAGAAGCGGUAUCUAACCAGAAAGCCACGGCUAACUACGUGCCAGCAGCCGCGGUAAUAC